CUAUCAAAAAAACUAAACCAAAUAACAGAAUAACGAAAACAACUAUAAAAGUAGCAGAAUAGCAAAAACAAUUAUAUUGUCAAGAAAGAUACUCAACAUCAAAAGCAUUACAAAAAAACAAACGAAGACGUCGGUGGGGCAGAGGUGGAAAGGGAAGGAGACGAUGUUGGCUAGGUCACCACAUCCGGUGGCGGAGACUAGGAGGUGGAUGUAGAGAGGGAUUUAUGAGUUCUUGUUGUUGUCUUCUACAACUAAAUCGAAAAUUAUAGCGAUGGCGGUAACGGCAACGAAGUAUUCAGAUCUGGAGGUGAAGAUGAGAUUUUUUCGAGAAUGUUUUGUCAUCGGGGUGCUGGGUAGCUGGGGAGAACUUUUCACCAUCUUGGGGCUGAGGAGCGACUUUUGGCGGCG
rnacentral:lncRNA from 1 species